CUCGAAAAUGUUAAAGUUCUUAUUUCAUGGUAUAACUUUGGUAUGCUUGGACCUAGAGUCUUCAAACUUGACAUGAAGGUUGGCCAGGAUUAACAGAUGACCACUGGUCAUUUCAAGGUCAUUCAUUUGAAGGUCAAGGUCACUGUGACCUUGAAUGUAAAAAUGUUAAAGUUCUUAUUUCAUGGUAUAACUUUGGUAUGCUUGGACCUAGAGUCUUCAAACUUGACAUGAAGGUUGGCCAGGAUUAACAGAUGACCACUGGUCAUUUCAAGGUCAUUCAUUUGAAGGUCAAGGUCACUGUGACCUUCAAUAUAAAAAAUGUUAAAGUUGUUAUAACUUUGGUAUGCUUGGACCUAGAGUCUUGAAACUUGACAUGAAGGUUGGCCAUAACUAGUUAGUAACCACUGGUCAUUUCAAGGUCAUUCAUUUGAAGGUCAAGGUCACUGUGACCUUGAAUGUAAAAAUGUUAAAGUUCUUAUUUCAUGGUAUAACUUUGGUAUGCUUGGACCUAGAGUCUUCAAACUUGACAUGAAGGUUGGCCAGGAUUAACAGAUGACCACUGGUCAUUUCAAGGUCAUUCAUUUGAAGGUGAAGGUCACCGUGACCUUCAAUAUAAAAAUGUUAAAGUUGUUAUAACUUUGGUAUGCUUGGACCUAGAGUCUUGAAACUUGACAUGAAGGUUGGCCAGAACUAGUAAGUAACCACUGGACAUUUCAAGGUCAUUCAUUUGAAGGUCAAGGUCACUGUGACCUUGAAUGUAAAAAUGUUAAAGUUCUUAUUUCAUGUUAUAACUUUGGUAUGCUUGUACCUAGAGUCUUCAAACUUGAAAUAAAGAUUGGCCAGUACUAGAAGAUGACCACUGGUCAUUUCAAUGUCAUUCAUUUGAAGGUCAAGGUCACUGUGACCUUAAAUGUUAAAAUGUUAAAAUUGUUAUAACUUUGGAAUGCUUGGACAUA